rnacentral:rRNA from 1 species
CCUGAUGGAGGGGGAUAACUACUGGAAACGGUAGCUAAUACCGCAUAACGUCGCAAGACCAAAGAGGGGGACCUUCGGGCCUCUUGCCAUCGGAUGUGCCCAGAUGGGAUUAGCUAGUAGGUGGGGUAACGGCUCACCUAGGCGACGAUCCCUAGCUGGUCUGAGAGGAUGACCAGCCACACUGGAACUGAGACACGGUCCAGACUCCUACGGGAGGCAGCAGUGGGGAAUAUUGCACAAUGGGCGCAAGCCUGAUGCAGCCAUGCCGCGUGUAUGAAGAAGGCCUUCGGGUUGUAAAGUACUUUCAGCGGGGAGGAAGGGAGUAAAGUUAAUACCUUUGCUCAUUGACGUUACCCGCAGAAGAAGCACCGGCUAACUCCGUGCCAGCAGCCGCGGUAAUACGGAGGGUGCAAGCGUUAAUCGGAAUUACUGGGCGCAAAGCGCACGCAGGCGGUUUGUUAAGUCAGAUGUGAAAUCCCCGGGCUCAACCUGGGAACUGCAUCUGAUACUGGCAAGCUUGAGUCUCGUAGAGGGGGGUAGAA